GUUAGAUAAUCUAGUAAGUGCUAAUGGGUGACAUUCGUCAGUCACUGCUGCCUCGGGAUGUGCUGAGCGCAGCCAAGGAGCUGCUGUACCAUCUGGACAUCUACAUCUGUAACAUGGUGCAGUCUGGGAGACAGCCACCUCAGGUUGACUCCAAGACCCUGGAGCUGAUAGAGGAGUUUAUUCUGCAUGCACCCAAGGACAGAAACACACCUGGCAGGAGGAUGAGUGCUCUCCAGGAGCUGCAGCUGUUGGAGAUCAUGUGCAGCUGUUUCCAGGAGCAGAGUCGUGACACUGUCCGUCAGCUGAUGUUCUCCGCCCUCUUCAGUCUCCAAGGCAACCAAGCAGAUGAAAGCCGCAUGGCUCUGUUAGGCAAGUUGGUCUCUAUGGCAGUCGCUGUGGGCCGGAUUCCUAUCUUGGAAUGCACUGCCACCUGGCUACAGAGAACGCACCGAGUCUUCUGUGUGCGUCUGGCACAGGUGCUGGUCGAUGACUACUGCAGUAUGGUGCCAGGCUCAGUCCCCACCCUUCAGAAUAUCCACAGCACCAGUCCACGCUUCUGCUGCCAAUUCAUCACUGCUGUCACCACUCUCUAUGACCUCACGUCAGAGGAGCUCACCCCUCCAAUAGAACUCCUCCAGAUGAUUGCGUCGUGGAUCCAAGAUGACCCUCGUCUGGUCCUCAUCACCUUCCUAAACUCCCCCCUCUCUGGCAGUCAGCCAAUCAGCUCACUCGAUGUCACACCUUUAGGAGGGUUGGUGCGUUGGUGUGUUAAAGCACCACUGGCUUUCAGGAGAGACAAGAAGGUGGCGCUGAGCAGUGGCAGCACUGAAAAUCACCAAGACGCUGGUCUUCUUUUCUCUGCACUUCAUUUAAGUGUUUUACAGGUCUUCAUGUUGUUGCCAAAUAUACUCAAUGAGAAGGGGCUUUUCGGCCGCCUGGCGUUGCUCCAGCUGGAGUCCUUGGCUGCGCUGACCUCCGACCUUUCCAGAUUGUUGGACCAGGCUGACAAACAUACGCAUACCUCAUCUGAAGACAUGCACACAUUGUCUCAGCUGACCCUGGACCGGCUGGCACAGGCCCUCCAGGUCGCCAUGGCCAAUAGAGCGCUACUCUGCUCAAGAGAGGAUCUGAGAGCCAUUUGUUCCCGCCUCCCCCAUAACAAUUUGCUCCAGUUGGUGCUGUCAGGUCCGGUGAUGUACUACAACAACAUCCACACUCCUCCGCUGGCCUUCAGCCCACAUGCAGCUCAUUCCCCCAUCGCCGCACACCCCGCGCACCCUGCACACACCCCGCUCGCCACACACGCUGCCCCACACCCUCAGUAUCCCGGUCAGCCUUUCAUGACAGGGAUGCCCUUUCCCUUCCGACCAAGCCACUAAAUGAAACAGGGCCUGGCUUUGUUUGCAGACGUGUAGAUGCUGUACUUCAUUCAACCACUUGUGGUCGCUGUUGUCAAUGUCUGUGAACAGGCCCUCGUCAUUUCAGGCCUUCAUUUGAAUUUUCUAGCACUAAAUGACACAAAAACACAGCUGUGGUGUAGAAUUAAACCCAUCCAUGGCUUGCGGUGUUGCACCUGUAACUUCCUCCUACAACACCAGAACAAAUGUAGCUGCCCUGACCGUGUCACAACAACAUAUGAAGAACUUUACUGCAUUUCAUGUGUCACACAUUACAUUGUUUGUCACCAGUGCACUGUGGCUACUGUUGAAGGCUGAUUGUGUAUAAGAUGCUGUCUGUGGGCUUUCUGCUGCAGAGCCAAUGGGUGCGACAGUGAUAAGGCUUAUCUUUUCUGCUAAAGUGAUGCUUUAACUGUUACACACAGGGAAGGUGACAACUGAUAACAUGUGAGUGAUAUGAAGAUGGGAUCCAAAGGAAAGUAAAAGCUUUGUUGCCGUUAAACCAUACAGGUGGUGAAUCUGUACUAGAUUCAGUUUAUUACCAUUACACCUUCUGAUAUACUUUAUUAUUUCACCCUAACCUUACCAGUUGUGCAACUGCUCAUGCAUCUCUAUUACUCGCCACGCGCCUCUUCUCUGUUGGAUUUUCUUCGAAAUAUAAUAGGCUGAACCCACAAGGCGCCAAAAAAUACAGUUAUAGUGAUCCAGCCAAUAUUUCACUACAUUUCAAUUCAUUUCGAUUCCAAUUAUUAUUAUACUAAAUAUUUUCUCCGGCCAAUAAUAUCUACACCUUCCUGAGGCACGUAAUCAUCUUUAAAGCUUCUGCAGUUUCUUCUGCGUAUUUGGUUCGACCAUCUACAGUCUACGGGGCUUUGGAAAACUGAGAUGAAUUUAAAAAAAACGUGCUGCUUGGAGAUGGUUUUGUCUGUGUUUGCACAUUUAAGAGGAAAUCUGUGUGGUUCUCUGCUGGUGUGGGU